rnacentral:rRNA from 1 species
UACAGAGGUCCCGAGCGUUGUUCGGAUUCAUUGGGCGUAAAGGGUGCGUAGGCGGCGCCGUAAGUCAGGUGUGAAAGCCUGGGGCUUAACCCCAGAAGAGCAUUUGAUACUGCGGCGCUAGAGGACUGGAGAGGAGACUGGAAUUCACGGUGUAGCAGUGAAAUGCGUAGAUAUCGUGAGGAAGGCCAGUGGCGAAAGCGGGUCUCUGGACAGGUUCUGACGCUGAGGCACGAAGGCUAGGGGAGCAAACGGG